AGCGUUUAAGCAACAACGCCACUGCACACACGCACCCGCAGCCAUCAUCUCACGCCGGCCUUCGUCUCUCUCACUCUCUGUGCUGCCCUUGUGUGAAGAGGGCGUGCCAAGACGACGGCAGAGGAGCGCUUUGCCGAAGAGUGACGCGGUGUGUCCGUGCUGGUUUUGGUGUGCGUGUGUGGGCUCGAUUGCUGUUGCUCUGUUGUCUUCGCGACAAAAGCGCUUCGACUGUCCGAAAUCUCACACGACUACACGCAACGAGUGCACGUAUGCAUCUCAGUAGGCGACGUCCCUUCGUUUCUAUCUGGGGGCUGGGGACAGAAUUUUUUUUUGCUGUUGUUUUGCUCUUUGAAGUAGCUCGGCAGCGGCUUUCCUCCUCAUCCUUGUGAAACUACGUGCUCACCGGCGCAGGUGACGAGACGACGCACCGCAAGCUCUCUUAGGCUGACAGAAUUUGUACUCAUCGCCGUCAAGAGAGGCGUGCCGAUCGCCCUUGUUUUUCGUUCUCCUCUUCAUUUCUAACGCGCGCACACCCCUUACAAACGGAGUCGCUGCCAUCCCCUCCCCCCCGCUUCACACACGCACACACAAAUAGCAGACCCGCGCUUCGCAAUGAAUCGACACAACAAGUUCUACGCUGAGGUGGCUGGCGAGUUGGAGGGGGACGACUACUACGGUGACGACGACGACUACAACUAUGAUGAAGAGUACGAGGAGGAGGGGGAGUACGACGAGGCAGCGUACGAGGCCACAGCGAGUGCGGCGCCGCCUGAACCGGCGCACAUGUCCGAAAGCACCGCUCAGGCCACUGCGUCCGCCGCUCCGGCCGUGCGCGUUAACCCGUACACAACGAUAUCGCCGCAGGUGGACGAUGACUACGAGCUGCUCGACAUGCUGUUGCCGCAGCUGCACGCCUUGUGGAAAGCAAGUGCACCGACGAUGCUGCCGCUCUCGGAGGGCGAGGCGGUCACGGCACUUCGGGCAAGCAACUACGACGUCGAGCCCGCCUUCCUGCAACUCAAAGAAAAGCGAGACGUGGAGCGCUCCAAGCGCGGCGGCGGCGUCCUGAAGGUCACCGCAGCUGCUGGACCCGCGAACCGGGCAUCCACUUUUCCAGCUGUCGAGUCACCCGAACCGGGCGGCGAGGAGGCGAGCGAUAACGAGGGCAACUCUGCAUCGCCGAGCGCGAGUUCUGGCCGCACCACGACCACCUUGAGGGGCUCGAAGGGCACAUCGCAGCGACGCACGAAGCAGAUGCUAGAGAUGGAACCGGACAAGGAGAAGCCGGACUGCACGUUUGUGAUUGCCGGCCACGUCGAUGCCGGAAAGAGCACCACGCUGGGCCACCUCCUCCUGCUCUUGGGCCGCGUUAGCAUCCAGGAUGUCGAGAGAAACGAAAAAGCAGACCGCACGCACCGCAAGGACUCCUUCAAGUACGCCUGGCUGCUGGACCAGUGUGAGGAGGAGCGGCGCCGUGGCGUCACCAUCGACUCCGGCUCUUUCUGCUUCGAAACGGAGCACCGUCGCGUGCACAUCCUCGAUGCCCCAGGGCACAAGGACUUUGUGCUCAGCAUGAUCAGCAGUGCCACCCAGGCCGAUGCUGCCUUGCUCGUCGUGACGGCGGCCACCUCCGAGUUCGAGACGGGGCUGCACCACGGUACCAAGUCUCAUCUUCUGGUCUUGAAAACGCUCGGCGUCGGGUCCAUUGUCGUCGCCGUCAACAAGAUGGACGCCGUCGCCUAUUCACAGGAGCGCUACGACUACGUGGUGCGGGAGCUGCAGCUCCUGCUCAAGCAGACCCGCAUCCCGGAGGAAGCCAUCAUCGGUUUUUGCCCCAUUAGUGGCAUGGCAGGCGUCAACAUCACUCAGCGGGGCGCCAAGGAGACGCCUUGGUACCACGAUCUCAGCUUGAUCGAGAUGAUUGACAAGUGUCCGUUGGAGAGUCGCCUGCUGAACAGACCGCUGCGCCUGAGUCUGCAAGACGUGCAGGGCACCACCCUCUACGCCAAGGUCGAGAGCGGAAGGCUCUUCACAGGGGACACGGUUCAUUUCGUGCCGAGCGAGGUGCGGGUCGCUGUCAAGUCGAUUCAGAAGCCCACUGUGGCUGGCCCUGUUCUCGUCGCCUUUGCUGGCGAGAUGGUAGAGAUCAGCACGAACUCGUCCGUGACAGGACUGUACCCGGGCUGUGUGGGCUGCGAGCCGAAUUUGUUAAUCCACAGUUCCACCGACUUUGAGGCGCAUAUCCAGACCUUUCGCACCCUCACCAAGUCCAUCCUGCCAGGGGCGAGCUUCACCAUCAUUGUGCACGCCCUGACGGUGCGGGUGCAUGUUGUCGCACUCAUAUCUAAGAUGGACGGCAAAACAGGAAACUGGUCGAAGGGGAUGGUGAAGUGUGUGCCGCCGGCCGCACAGGCGAUGAUGCUCUUCCGUGCUGAGUCGCCUGUCGCCCUCGAACCGGCGACGGAGUGCCGCGCGCUGGGGCGGUUUGUCCUUCAGCAGGAUGGCGAAACAGUUGCUGGCGGCCUGGUCACACGCGUUGUGGACAAGCCGUGAGACACACACGCACACACACACACACACACACAGCGACAGAGAAAACAUAGGCGACAGCGCGAAGCGCGCGACUAGGUGCCAUAACGCAGCUCCUCUUUCCUUGGCCUUGCACUGUCUCUCCGCCCAACUUUCGCCGUCUCAGCUUGCGGCCUGGGUGCGAUCUCCUUUCUUCCUCCGCGCGAGGACGCCAUUGCCGUCGUUUCGUGGCGGCUUGAGUGGCGUUGUUCAUCAUCGUUGGCCUUCGUGUGGGCCCAUGCAUAAUCGUUGGAGGUGUAUGGCGCCAAGCCUUGCGCUUGCAGCGGACUUCAUGCGCGGCUUCGUUUUCCACUGUUUCUCAGCGACUGCAUGAACGUCCCCCUUCCCCUCUUACGGUUACGCGCUUGUUCGCUAGCACACAAACGGAUGCCCAGAGGCGUGCGAGAAGGACGUGGAGGCGGUAAAGAGGUUGCUCUUGCGGGGAGGGGAGUUGCGAGAGGGAAAGGGAUGAGCGGACACGCGCCCAGCUGCCUCCGUCUCUCUUUUGCCAGCGGCAGUGCCCCAACUCGCUUAUCGAAUCACACAAGCGCACGCACAAGGAAAUGGAGCCUAACUGGUUGCGAAACGAAAGCAGCGGAACCGCAAAAAAAAAACAAAGAAAGGGGCAAAAACCCACAACUACCGGGGCAUGGGCGACUGUCUUGCUGGAUUCCCUAAAAUAGCGGUACUGCGCCUCACUGGGGGGAGGGUUCGUUGUCGGCGUCGCCUUGUAGUCCCCCUCCCCCUCACACCGUCUGGCCCAUCGCCCACUCUACUGAGAAGCUGACAGCGCGAGGUGGAGCCCACGUGCACACCUGGGCUGAGGUGUCUGGCUGUUUUGCGCACGCACUCCUCAGCGUUUCAAGCUGCAUCCUUCCCUCUUUGUUGUCCUACCCGUUCUCCGAUGCUGUCAUUCUCCGUUUUGUUUCCCAUGAAUCUCUGCUUGGUGAAUGUGAUAUCCGCCCUACGUACGACUCGGUGAUUGCAG
rnacentral:misc_RNA from 1 species